AAAAUAUAGAUAAUUUUUAAAAUUUAGUAAAUUCUUUACUAUGGUUGAUGUUGACAAAACCCUAGUAUCUAAUACCAACUCUAACGAUUCUUCGUAACUAUGUUUACAUCACGCGUAUAUAAUCACUUAGAGCACACACACUAAAAAAGAGUCUAAAAACAACCUAUUUGUCGUGCCGUGAAUUUCCAUCAAUACAUUCUUACAUAACAGUUCACAAAUAUUAAUAAAAGAUUUCUUAAAACAUUUCUUAAACGAAAGAAAAAUAACGAAUUUAUUGCUCUUCAAGAUUGAAGCGAAUUAUUCGGACUCGUCCAGUAUUAUCGAAGGCAACGGGAUGGUGGUCGUCGUCCACUUGGCAAAAGUCCAACUCUGUUGGCGGGAAAUCAUGGAGCAGGCGCUGGAGCGUGUGCGGUUAAUCCGUUGUGCGGCGCGCGUGUCGUGCCGGAUUCGAAACAGUUUUCGUUAUAUUUCGUGUUAGCGAAGUAGCGCCCGUAUUAAUCCGGGCAUAAAUGGAUUUAUCGAUUCGUUCAAUUAACGCGCUCGCCGAACCGUUGAAAUACGUGAUUAAUAGGGGAGGGAUAUGUGUUUAUAAGCGAUCACAUCUGGAAAGCGGGUUGUUAGACGAGAGCUGCCAUUCCCGCAAUUGAAUACACGGACCGAUCGCCGGCCGAGCACCGCUGAUUUCCCUCCUACCGUUUAUUUGCAACGAUCGAUCCAUCCGUCAACCGACGAUUAUUAACACUUCUGCCACGGAACGUGGGCUCGAGAUAAAAUUCGACAUUCGACUUUGAUCGAAUUAAAAACUUUUCGUUCCAUCGUGGUUGUUUGGAUUUGUUAAUUACGUUAACACGAUUAUUCGAAGCUGUUCAAAAUUAUCGUAUUUCAAGGUAUAUAUACAUCCUGAUCCCAAUUUGUGUGGAAAAUUAAGGAGGAGGGGGGAGGAGGGUGAAAAGGAACGGCCAGCCUAUGAUCAUAGCAUAGACACGUUCAUACACAUGUGGUUUUCAACGUGAACCGCCUAUGGCUGGCGAUACGGAAUUACGAGGAUACGCUGGAAAAACAAAGGAGAGAGAGAGAAAGAGAGAGAAAGAAUGGGAAGGAAAAGAAAAAAAGACGAAAAAAAGAAAAAAAAGGGAAGUUGCAUUGGGGAGACGCAGGCACGCAUGAAACGCGUGGAGAGAGCGUGUUUUUCUUUGAGGGGACGAGAGAGGGAAGGGGAGGGGGGGAGUCUCUUUUUUUCAAGGAUCGGCUCGAUGGAAGAGUGAAGCACGUCGCAACGAGCCGCCGCCUCAUCCGCGCGCUCUCGAGAGGAAAGGGAGAAGUAGGAAGGAGAGGAGGGAGUGGGUGAUGCCACUCGAGAAGGGAGGGGGAAGCAACGGUUCGAGACACUGUGGAAGAAAUUCGAGUCGACUCUGCAGUUACAUCCGUGCGUUUUGUGCAUCCUUUUCUUUUUUCUUGCCAUUAUUCAAGUUUCAUAGAGGUUUGCAUGUUUAUCGAGAUCAAUGCUUCGAAGGUGUAUUUUUAUUAUGUGGGUAGAAAAAGAAAAAAAAAAGAGCGACAGCUCGUCAUAUAAAAUUAAAAGGAAUUGACAUUUUCAUCGAAUCGUUUCUUGGAAUAAUCGAAAUAGUCGAAAGUUCGAGUAGUAUUUCGAAAUGGACAGAUGUCAAGCAGGGAAACGAAUUAUCUUAAAGAAAAAAUUCGGUAGAAUUUUAUUUGAUUUUAUACGAACAAAAAUUUAAAAAAAAAAUUCCAUCCCGUUUAUCCGAUAAACGACUCGUAAAACUAGCAAUGAUCAUCGAUUUAUGCGUUAUCCGAUUCCAUAUUUGAUCGUUUAUUUGUCAAAUUCAUGGCGAGAGAGAUCAGUAAAAAUGAUGACGGAGACGCGGAAAUGAAUUUUUUUGUUUUUUCCCGACACGGCCGGAAACGAAUCGACUUCCAUUUAUAAACUCAAUUAGCGCAGAAAACUAUUAAUUUUCCGGGAAGUGGAAUUAAUCGACCGCCAUCGCGACGAUAAAGGGGAUGAUUAAACGCGGUUGGAAACGGCGCGCACGCGUUCACACACCCAUUCGAUGAAACCCAAAAUUCCAUCCUUCUUUCUCACGCGCGCGUGAUGCUAGUUGUUUCGUUAUUACAAAUACCUCUCUCUCUCUCUUUUUUUCUAUUCCAGACGCGAGCAAUGAUUCUCGACCCGUUAUAACGUUUCAACGAUGAUUAAAUUCGAUAUCUUAUAUGUGUAUAUAGUUCAUAAGUUAUUUGAAGACUAAAAAAAAAAAGAAGGUUAAUAUAAGGUUAAGGUAAAUAUUCGAAAUAUAUCCCGUUCAAGCGUCUGAAUUGACGAUAAUUAUCCCAUAGAAUUGUUAUUUCACAUAGAUCGUUGAAGCGAUAAAAUUUCUACAGAGAAUUGCUAUUAGUGAACAACGAUCGAACGUGUAUCCACUUAAUAUCUCCACUUUCUUCGUGACACUUGUAAAACCUUGUUAAAUCAAUUUCAUUUUCCCCGGAUUGAAUCGAUGCGAAUCGUUCGCAAAAAUGUUCGAAUGUACGACGAAGGAUAAUAGUAAAAGUGAAUGGCGGGGAAAAAAAAAAAAGAAAAAAAGUCUGGAACAGAAAAUGGAAAAUCCGCGAUUUCGUGUAAACCACUCGUUCACUCGUUGAAAACCUUUGGUGCAUCGUCGAACGCGAAUUAAAUUACGAGGAUCAUCAUUGUUGCUCGAAUCCCGGUGCUCGGCCAUAAAGGUGAAAUCGUGCCGCGUGUUUCGCGACCGUUCCGCCUUUAAACGAAUUUCAUGCUCUCGGUCAAUGCCUCGGUGCAUACCUUUCGAAGCGGCGGACAAUCGGCCGAAACGCGUUGAUUUCUAGGGAAUUCGAAUAAAAAAAGAAGAGGAGGGAGGGGAAAAAAAAA